AUUGAACGCUGGCGGCAUGCCUUACACAUGCAAGUCGAACGGUAACAGCACUUCGGUGGCUGACGAGUGGCGAACGGGUGAGUAAUACAUCGGAACGUGCCCGAGAGUGGGGGAUAACGCAGCGAAAGCUGUGCUAAUACCGCAUACGAUCUACGGAUGAAAGCAGGGGACCGCAAGGCCUUGCGCUCAUGGAGCGGCCGAUGGCAGAUUAGGUAGUUGGUGGGAUAAAAGCUUACCAAGCCGACGAUCUGUAGCUGGUCUGAGAGGACGACCAGCCACACUGGGACUGAGACACGGCCCAGACUCCUACGGGAGGCAGCAGUGGGGAAUUUUGGACAAUGGGCGAAAGCCUGAUCCAGCCAUGCCGCGUGCAGGAUGAAGGCCUUCGGGUUGUAAACUGCUCUUGUACGGAACGAAAGACUCCUUCUAAUAAAGGGGUCCAUGACGGUACCGUAAGAAUAAGCACCGGCUAACUACGUGCCAGCAGACC
rnacentral:rRNA from 1 species